CGGAGGGGCGUAGCGUUGUUCGGAAUUACUGGGCGUAAAGCGCACGUAGGCGGACCGGAAAGUCAGAGGUGAAAUCCCAGGGCUCAACCUUGGAACUGCCUUUGAAACUAUCGGUCUGGAGUUCGAGAGAGGUGAGUGGAAUUCCGAGUGUAGAGGUGAAAUUCGUAGAUAUUCGGAGGAACACCAGUGGCGAAGGCGGCUCACUGGCUCGAUACUGACGCUGAGGUGCGAAAGCGUGGGGAGCAAACAGGAUU
rnacentral:rRNA from 1 species